rnacentral:rRNA from 1 species
ACUUUCAGUCGUGAGGAAGGCGGCGUCGUUAAUAGCGGCGUUGUUUGACGUUAGCGACAGAAGAAGCACCGGCUAACUCCGUGCCAGCAGCCGCGGUAAUACGGAGGGUGCGAGCGUUAAUCGGAAUUACUGGGCGUAAAGCGCAUGCAGGUGGUUUGUUAAGUCAGAUGUGAAAGCCCGGGGCUCAACCUCGGAAUAGCAUUUGAAACUGGCAGACUAGAGUACUGUAGAGGGGGGUAGAAUUUCAGGUGUAGCGGUGAAAUGCGUAGAGAUCUGAAGGAAUACCGGUGGCGAAGGCGGCCCCCUGGACAGAUACUGACACUCAGAUGCGAAAGCGUGGGGAGCAAACAGGAUUAGAUACCCUGGUAGUCCACGCCGUAAACGAUGUCUACUUGGAGGUUGUGGCCUUGAGCCGUGGCUUUCGGAGCUAACGCGUUAAGUAGACCGCCUGGGGAGUACGGUCGCAAGAUUAAAACUCAAAUGAAUUGACGGGGGCCCGCACAAGCGGUGGAGCAUGUGGUUUAAUUCGAUGCAACGCGAAGAACCUUACCUACUCUUGACAUCCAGAGAACUUUCCAGAGAUGGAUUGGUGCCUUCGGGAACUCUGAGACAGGUGCUGCAUGGCUGUCGUCAGCUCGUGUUGUGAAAUGUUGGGUUAAGUCCCGCAACGAGCGCAACCCUUAUCCUUGUUUGCCAGCGAGUAAUGUCGGGAACUCCAGGGAGACUGCCGGUGAUAAACCGGAGGAAGGUGGGGACGACGUCAAGUCAUCAUGGCCCUUACGAGUAGGGCUACACACGUGCUACAAUGGCGCAUACAGAGGGCGGCCAACUUGCGAGAGUGAGCGAAUCCCAAAAAGUGCGUCGUAGUCCGGAUUGGAGUCUGCAACUCGACUCCAUGAAGUCGGAAUCGCUAGUAAUCGUGGAUCAGAAUGCCACGGUGAAUACGUUCCCGGGCCUUGUACACACCGCCCGUCACACCAUGGGAGUGGGCUGCAAAAGAAGUAGGUAGUUUAACCUUCGGGGGGACGCUUACCACUUUGUGGUUCAUGACUGGGGUGAAGUCGUAACAAGGUAGCGCUAGGGGAACCUGGCGCUGGAUCACCUCCUUAUACGAUGAU